GGGGUGUUUAACUGAAGUGUUUGGCUGCAGCACCAUAGGUUAUACUCUAUUUUCUUGUGUUUAUUUUGGAUAUUCUUUCUAUCAUGCACACACACACAUACAUAUAAGAAUAGUUGAGAUGGGCUCUCAAAUGGGACAGGGGGACCCCUGCAGAUGGAGGUGGGCGUUACAUCCGCCCAGUGAGUCAUCAGUGCUAAAUUUACCAAAAUUGCUCGCUCACACAUUCUCACAUGCAAAAACACACUUAGAAUUGUUUUUAUCAUCAUUGUCUUUAUCAUUAUCACCAUCACAGGCUUCUACCACUACAUCAACUUUCCCACAUGGUCAAACACAUGGGAAGAAGAUGAGGUCAAAACUUGUAACCUUUCUGAUACAUCUAUCUUACAACAUCAAAGCAUGCCCUCCUCACCAUGAGCCCCUGUUCCCAUAG
ensembl:lncRNA